CUUCCUUAAGUUAGAUUUUAUGGGACUUUUUUCUGUGUAUAUUUGGGGUAUAAUGCUAAAGAUUAAAACUUAAAAAUCUUCUGUUGCAAUUACUUUCGGGUUAGGGUCAAAUUUAUGCUAGAUUGACUGGACUAUUAUUGUUUGAACUUUUAUUUACUAAUGUGUGUCUUAUAGACGUUUUUCGCUUCAGACCAAGGCUUUUUCAUAAUCUUUAAUGUUUUGAGUUUAAUUAUCUGUUUGCGGUUUACCUUCACCUCUGUUUCUUUUUUAUGUGUAUUUUGAUGAAUACUCUUUGAC
rnacentral:lncRNA from 1 species